rnacentral:rRNA from 1 species
AUGAGCCAAAUGCUAAGCAUGAUGAAGCCUCUGCCACGCGACACUAAAUACCCAAGGGAGUUCUUUGUUGAAGACCUAGAGUAUCUGCCCCAAACAAUCUAUCAUAUCAUAAGGCGAACUCUCUGGCCCAUCAAGGGACAUUCUUCUGCAGCGAAGCUUGAAGGAGCGAUGAAGACAUUGGUCUUUUAUAUCUUCAAUGACAUCAGCUUCAAUGCUCAAGACUUCUUUAUCAGACAAUUGGCUGCAUCAGGCUCUGAUCUCUUUGGUCUGAAGUUCUACGCUCCAUGGGUUAUGCGCCUUAUCAAGCUUUACUCAGCUGUCAACUAUCAGCCCUCUGCACGCAACCAUCUGAUAUUCUUGCCAGGGGUUGAUAUGUCUAUUGAAGCCAUAUACCCAGAGCCUGCCAAGGAGCCCAUUUAUCUUCACAAUGCUGAUCACCAAAGCUUCACACAGCCCAUUGUAGGAGUCCAGGCAGUCACGCGUGUUUAUCCUUUGGCUGGCAAUACACGUGGCCCUCAUCAUGCCAAUACUGAAGCCACUGAGAGCACAAUUGCGCAAAGGCCUCGAAAGCGAUCUCGUGUUCUCAAUGAUCGAGAGCUUCUCGUCGCCCUGCAUCAGAAACAGGAUAAGCAUCACUACUGGCUGAAGCGAAAAAUCCAAAGCCUCUUGGUGGAUGUCAAUCGCAUUCGCAACCUUGCUACCAAGAAUGCCUUUGUCACUCAUGAAACUUGUCGGAGGUCAUGGAAGAGUUUGACAUUGCUCAGUGCUGAAGCAGAUCUUCAAGACGAUGGCUUCACUGGAAGAUUCAAGUUCGACUCCACUCCUCCAAGGAAUGCUGUCUUGCGUCAAACUCCCUCUCUUGAAGACUCUGAUUAUUCCUCCUCAGCUGCACUGGUGAAUGCCAGAGUCAUAGAUGAUCAAGAUGAUGCUACUUCACCACCUCCAACUUCAGCGCGUGUCGACACUGCACCAAGUUCUUCUGCACCGCCAAACCCCGACGCCGACCCUGCAACUUCACCUACUCCUUCUGGGAACGUGUAG